UAGUCAAAUAUUCAAAGAGUCUAUUUUUGUUACCAAAAGUGCACAACCGUUACCGUCUGGCUCGCCAUCUUUCUCUCUCUCUCUCUGAGAAACACUGAGAUUCAUCAGUUUCUAUGAAUUCGAUUCCUACAAUUCAAGGAAGAUGAUUUUGUCAUUUUCCGGAGUUUACGCCUUUCAACAGAGGGAUCAGGCUUGCACAUUAUCAAACACCUGUUGAAACUUUGGGCAGACCUUGUUAUGAAAGCUGAAACUUCCAAAGCUGGACCGUUCAUUGAGGUGAAUUGUAGAUUAAUAUGCUCAUGAUAUCAUGAGGUGGAAACCUUGUAGUACAAUGCGAUGAAAAAUUUACUUGAGAGCCUUGCUGUGAUCCUGAUGAAAGAAUUUUUCCGGCUCUUUGCCGGGCAUAAAAUUGGCUGGAAAAAGAUAUUUUUUAUUGGGGCCAUUAUGACAGCGGUAUGUGUCAUGCUGCAAAUGUUUAUACUUGCUGAUCCACUGGACUUGUGGUUCCUCUCUCUGCCCGUUGAGAUGCCAUCAGAUAAACUCUUGAACGGUAGCCUGUGCUUGAACAAGACCUCUACCGAGGCAAGGAUCAAGCGGUUGCAAAUCUUUCCUCGUGCUCCCAUUGUUUCACCACAGCCGUCUAUUGAGUUGAAUCUUUCAGUGGCAAUUCAGCCAGCUGCUCUCUCAGUUCCUCCGCAGAGAAAAUCUCCAUCUAGAAGGAGAAGAAAAAAUGACAGGGGAGAUAACAUUGCAAGGGUCACACCUCCUCCUCCUCCCCCUCCAUAUCCAAAGGUGCCUCAUCGUUUGCAGAAAUUCAUUUGGUCAUUGACACCAAAUGAGGCACUUGUGUACGCAAAGAAAGAGAUUGAGUAUGCCCCAGCAAUCACUGAAGAUGAUCCUGAUCUAUAUGCCCCUAUAUUUCGGAACGUUUCAGUUUUCACAAGGAGUUAUGAGUUGAUGGAACUGAUACUUAAAGUUUACAUAUACCGUGAUGGAGAAAGGCCCAUUUUUCACAGACCUCAUCUCAGAGGAAUUUAUGCUUCUGAAGGAUGGUUCAUGAAGCUGAUGGAGGAAAACAGGCAGUUUGUCACAAGGGAUCCGGAAAAGGCUCACUUAUUUUAUCUUCCUUACAGUAUGCGGCAACUGGCGAUGUCACUUUAUGUUCCCAAUUCACAUAAUUUGAAACCACUCUCAGUUUUCCUGAGAGAGUAUGCAAACAUUAUUGCUUCAAAGUAUCCUUUUUGGAAUCGCACACAUGGGUCAGAUCAUUUCCUUGUUGCUUGCCAUGACUGGGGCCCGUACACGUUGACUGCGCAUGAAGAACUAACCAAAAAUACUAUAAAAGCUCUAUGCAAUGCUGACACCUCUGAAGGAAUCUUUGUGGCUGGGAAGGAUGUUUCACUGCCAGAAACAACUAUCCGGACCCCGAGAAAGCCUCUCAGAAAUGUUGGUGGGUUAAGAGUAUCCCAGCGCCCACUUCUGGCCUUCUUUGCAGGAAACAUGCAUGGAAGAGUCCGCCCGACUCUUCUCAAGUACUGGCGGGACAAACAUGAUGACAUGAAAAUCUAUGGGCCCCUGCCUCUUCGAGUCUCGCGAAAGAUGUCAUAUAUCCAGCAUAUGAAAUCAAGCAAAUUUUGUAUUUGCCCUAUGGGAUAUGAAGUGAACAGCCCUAGGAUCAUUGAGUCCAUCUACUAUGAGUGUGUCCCAGUGAUCAUUGCAGAUAAUUUCCCCCCUCCCUUGAGUGAUGUGAUAGAUUGGAGUACAUUUUCUGUUAUUGUGGCCGAGAAGGAUAUUCCCAAGUUAAGAGAAAUUUUAGUGGCUAUUCCUAUGAGAAGAUAUCUUACUAUGCAAAUUAAUGUGAAAAUGGUGCAGAAGCAUUUUCUUUGGAACCCGAGGCCAAUCAGAUAUGAUUUGUUCCAUAUGAUUCUGCAUUCGAUUUGGAUUAGCAGGUUGAGUCAGAUUCAAAUCCCGGAAUCCUAGUAUAGCGUAAGACUAGUGAAGAGAGAAGUGUAAGACUACUGACCAUGAUGCAAGUCCAAGAAGUGGCUUGGCUGUUGACUUUAUGAAGGACUUCAAAUAACAUUUGGUGCCUCCAGCCGGGUUUCAUUCUUAGUUUCCAAGUUCUUUGAACUGAACCACUGAUGAACGUUUUCUGGGAAGACCGGGGUGGAUGCCAAGAUGAGAACUCAUGAUGCAGGAUAGACGAGAAAGGGAAGGAGUCUGCGUUGUUCUGUGACAUUUUGUUGGACCCAGAUAAAUCUUAAUUAGACGCUCCAUCAUAAUAAAAUCAUUGUGCAUUUUACCGUACACAGACGAUCCGAUAUGGUUCACUGUACAUCGAAAAUUUUCCGUUUUUAGGAAUGUAAGUCCAUAAGUCGUCAAUUUUGAAACAAGCACCAUGUGGUCCUUUUUGUUUUCAAGGUAAUAAUGGGAUUUCAUUUAUAAAAAGACCAAAUAGUAGAA